UUUCCACUGUUCUGCCACUUUUCAUGUUUCUGUUUUUGUUUCCCUGUUUUGUUCCUCUGAUUUGUUUUCCCCUCCUCUGUUUUGUUACUAAGAAUGGCACCUUCAUCUGAAACAUCAACAACCAACAGCAAAGGCUUGUUUAAACCUACUGGUGAAAACCUUGACAUUGCUUGGCCGUGAAAUUCUUUGGUGGAUAUUAAUGACAAGAAGGUGGUUACUUGUGAUUUUUGUGGGAAGGUUACGAAAGGAGGUAUUACGAGAGUAAAAUUGCAUCAGAGGAUAAGGGGAGGUGUUGCUCCUUGUAGGAAAACAUUGGCUGAUGUAAUACAGAAACUCAAGGAGGCUCAGGAGAAAAAGCAAACAGCUAAUGAUUCCUAUAUGGCUGAUAUUAGUAAUGAUGAGAAGGACAAUGAUGUUGUGCAAGAAAUUGCACAUGUUUGGGCAGGAAAAAGGUCUACAACAGGUAUUGCUAAGACCAAUGUUAAAAGCUCUAUGGAUGUGCUUAUGUUUAAAAAUCUAGAGGUAUCAGAAGAUGACAAUAACAAUGGCCAAAUGUCAAAUAUCGAUAAAAGAUGCUUGUGUGAAAAAGGCAAGGGAAUUAACUAAUCAAUAGAUUGGUCGUUUCUUCUAUAGGAAUGAUAUUCCUUUUAAUGUUGUGAAGUCUAAAAACUUCAAGUUGAUGAUUGAGGCGAUUGGAAAUUAUGGAGCACACUUAAAGCUUCCAAGUUACCGUGAGAUUAGAGUUACAUUGCUAAAAAAGGAACUAGAGCUCACAAAGAAAAUGUUACAGGGACUUGUAAUGGAGCAAACUCAAUAUGAAUGCUCUAUCAUGUCAGAUGCAUGGACAGAUCGAAAGACUAGAACAUUGAUCAAUUUCUUGGUCAAUACUCCAGGUGGAACUAUGUUCGGAAGGAAUUGGAGUGGAAAAUUUUGUGCAAGUUGUUACCGACAAUGGUAGCAACUAUGCCUCAACAGGAAAAUAUUUAGAAGACAAGUAUUCCAAUCUCUUUUGGACUCUAUGUGCUGCCUAUUGUGUGGAUUUAAUGCUAGAAGAUCUUAGAAAGUUGCCUAUUGUUAAGAGGGGCAUCUAAAGAGGACAAUUUCUUGUUGGGUUCAUCUACAACCAUAUCAUCACCCUUAACAUAAUGAGAAAGUUCACCCAAGAAGCUGAAUUGGUUUGAAGUGGAGUGACAAGGUUUUGCAACUACAUUCCUCACUCUUCAAAGGUUGUAUAAACAAAAGAAUAACCUCAGAAGGAUGUUUGUAUCAGAAGACUGGGUGAACAUAAAUGCAUCAAAAAAUCCUAAGCGAAAAAAGGCAUAUUGUAUUGUUAUCAAUGUAUCAUUUUGGAAGGAUGUUCUAUUCUCUCUCAAGGCAACGAGGUCGUUGGUGCAUAUCUUAAGAUUGGUUGAUAACGAAGAAAAACCGGCAAUGGGUUACAUAUACGAGGAAAUGGAUAGGGCGAAGGAGUAUAUCGCGCAACAACAUUCAAUAGAAAUGAGAGUAAAUACUUUGAAAUUUACACAAUUAAAGAUAAUAGAUGGGAGGGUCAACUUCAUCGUCCAUUGCAUGCAGCAUCACAUUUCCUCAACCCACAUCACUUCUACAAUGACCCAAAUGUUGGCAAAGAUCCGGAAGUGACACAUGGACUUUAUGCUUGCAUUCUGAAGCUUUCUAAAGAUUUCGAUGAUAAUGAUAAAGCUCUAAAGAAGAUUGUUCAAUAUAGAAAAGCAUAUGGCAUGUUUGGUAUACCUUUUGCAAUUAGAAUGAGGUCUACUGUGUCUCCUUGUAACAAUGUUUUGUUAAUUUAAAAUUACAUACUUGAUACUUGUAUGUAAACAGUAGGAUUAAUUAUUUAUUGCAUUACAGCUGAGUGGUGGACCAUGUAUCAAAACCAUGUUCCAUAUUUGCAAGUUGUUGCAAUCAAAAUAUUAAGUUUGACAUGCAACUCUUCAGGAUGUGAGCGCAAUUGGAGUACAUUUGAGCAAAUUCAUUCUAAGAAGACAAGCACACUUGAGCACCAAAGGCUACAAGACUUGGUUUUCGUGAAGUACAACCAAGCUCUUAAACACCGCUUUGAUAACAAGGAUUUAACCGACCUCAUUCUCCUCAACAAUAUUGAUGAGUGUUAUUAUUGGCUUGAAAAAGAAUUGGAUGAAAACGAUGUAUUUGCAGAUGAUUUGGUCUUGGGAGAAGAUGAUUUGGUCUUGGGAGAAGAUGACUUGACUUGGGAACUUGUUGGUGAUGCAGCUGGAGUUAAUGAACCAAGUGAUGAGGACUCACUACAACUAUAGAUAAUGGAGAUGGGGAGGUGGAAGAAGAAGAGUUUGAAUCAAGUGAUGAACAAGAUAAUAUUGAUGUGAUUGAAAUUACAAGUGAAGAUGACGAAGAUAAUUUUGCAUGAUUUUGAUUGUUUUUAGUUUGAGUAGAACUUGAUUACUUUUAAAACUUAAUUUUGAUUAUUAUUAGAUCUUGAUUGUGAUGUUAGAUUUUGGUUAUGAAAUAUGAAGUAUGAUUACCCCUUUAUUUUUGUGUAUUUUAUUUUUGCUAUUUUUUAGUAUUUUUGUCUACUCUUUGUAUUUUAUAUUUAGCUUAUAUAUUGUUUUAUGGUUUCAAAAUAGCAGUCAUCCCACUAUCCCAUUUUCGGGAUUGGGCGCUCUGUGCCGCUAUCCGUGAUUGACAACAUAGGAAAAUAGUGGAGACUACAUUACCUAUGGGGAUAUCGGGUAUAUAUCCGGUUACAAGUUCUCAUUUUGUACACAUGGGGAUGUAGUUAGCAUAUUCUUGUAAUUUUUCCAAUAACAUUCUAUGGAAUACAUUUUGAUACGGCUUAGUUUCCAUAGCAAUGACUCUAUAUUACUCAAAUACAAGCAAGUCAAUGCAAAUCUCAAUGUUUUGCUACUAAAGUAAUUUUGCUUUGUUACCUAAAAUGAAAGGCCAACAUCAGAUUCCUAACAUUCUGAUAGUUACCAGAAGAAUAAUAAGGAAAACAAUACGACUGAAUUCAACGGCCUACCAUCAGAUCAUGUACCCUACCCCUCUUAUGUGUCCUACAAUAUACUUUGGUAAUAUUGGACCUCGGGCCAACAUCAAAAUCACCAUUAAAAAAAUUGCUAUACUGGCACCAAGUGCUACCAUAUCAGUGGUUGCAUUAUAGACUUACCCUUUCAGAAUCCCUAUAAGAUUCAGAGCUCUGUAAUCACAGAGAUCACCAGAAACAUCAAAGUUGAAACAAAUUUUCUCCAAACAUGCCUAAGAAAAUUCUACAAAUAACUUCUAGGUAAUGGGUGACAACAAUUCACAAAACAUUAAAAAAAUUCAUUGAUACAUUAAAUCGGUGCAGUCAGCCAUCAAUCAUAUAAAUUUGUGGUGAAAGUCGUAUCAGGAGCUUGAAAGAGGUAAAAUUACCCAGG